rnacentral:lncRNA from 1 species
CUUCUCCUCAACCUAAGCUGACGGUGACUCCAGUGAAAAUCGCAGAGACAAACUCAGUCACUCUGAACUGUCAGACUCCGUCGUCUGUGUCUCAGUGUUUUUUCGUCACUGUGAGUGGAGGAACCGUCAGAAGCCUCUCCUGCCUGUGGACCCUGACAGGGACAGAGCUCCUGCACAUGGCACAACUGAGGUCACCUGCUGAGGUUGAAGUUCAAUGUUAUUAUACCUUUAAUGGAAGAAAUUCUCCGCUCAGUGAUCCGUCCUCCAUCACUAUACAAAGUAGACGUCCAUCAACAAACGUUAUUGGUAAAGUAAUAUUACAAUACGUUAGCCAUUCAUUUGUAUUUGGACAAACCAGCGACAUCCUCCACUCACAUUUAAUGGUCACAUUAAAUUUUGAUUUUAAGUAGUUGAAGAGAUGACAGACAUGAAGUGUCUCAUCAUCUCAUCUUCUUCUAAUGCAGAUACUGACACAGAGUCAAGCGUGAUAACGACUUCUCCAAAAACCCCUGUGACCACAGGUCUGACGCUCAUACUCGCUCGUACUUCUGCUCCUGUAGCUCGUUUAGAGCCAACAUCAGGUGAAACUACAGGUAAAUAAAACUGACUCUAUCAAUGGACUGUGGGAUUUAAAAUUAUUAUGACUUUGUUUAAUGGUUCUGUCCUUCUUUUAGCAGGUCACACGUUUGACACUAAGGCUUUAACAUCAGUGAAACAAGCAGCAGAUUUGGACAUUAGUACGACGUCCAUGAAGGCAGAAUUUGAAGAGAAAAAAAAAGGUACUGGGAAUAAAAGAUUGUUAAAUAUCAUUAACUAUGUCGUAUAUUUUUGUAUUUUUUUGUAUGAAUCAACACUAAGAGCAAGUGAGUCUGCAAUGUUCUUUAAUGUUAACCACACUAAUUCUAUCAUAUAUGUGACACAUUUACAUGAUGAGCUGUUGUCUCAAAGCAGAGUGGAUGUGGAGGGUAAUAAUUGGAGUGGCUGCUUGUGGCGUAGCAUCUGGUGUCGUCCUGCUGCUUCCAAUAGUUCCCAGACUGCUGCGAAGAGCUGGUGAGAUUUAUUACUGAUGGUCCAAUAAAGCCCCUGCUGUGUGUCCA